GUCUCUGGAGAAUCUCAUUGAGUUGAGUGCCGAAGGUGCAAGGGUUGGGACAAACCAAACCCGAAUCUCUCAGGCAAACAGACAGAGUG
rnacentral:ncRNA from 1 species